UUUCUCUACACUCGUUUUCACAACUCUGUUUUACUCGCGUCUCUCUUCCCCGGCUCGAAAACUUCCGCUCACUCCAACAACCACCGCAGCCGUCCACAGAAUUCCCGAAAUGCCCUUCGGUUCUCGUUAGAUUUUCGAACAUAACCGCACUCUACCGGAUUCGGAGCCUGUCCUCUCUCUCAUCCCUAGGGUUUAGCCCGCCGGAAAAUGGCAGAACCUCUGACUCUGAACGGCGAUGCCGACGCCUCCGAGGAGCGUCUGCUCUUGGUGGACUCUAACAAUGGCGAUCGUUCCUGGCGGUUGAACUUCGACGGCGUUGAGCUCUCCGAGCACAAAGAGAAGAAGCCCCCUCGAGGCCUUCACGACUACCUCGGGGUUUUAGUUACAGAAGAUACUGUUGCGGAGUAUUACCAGCAGCAGGUAGAAAUGCUGGAGGGCUUUAAUGAAAUGGAUGCAUUAGCAGAGCGAGGUUUUGUUCCUGGGAUGUCAAAGGAAGAACAAGAGAAGUUGGCCAGAAGUGAGACAACUGCCAUUAGAAUAUCAAAUGUUGCAAACAUGGUGCUAUUUGCUGCCAAAGUUUAUGCAUCUAUCAGGAGUCGUUCGUUGGCCAUAAUUGCAUCUACAUUAGAUUCACUUCUUGACCUUCUUUCAGGCUUUAUCUUGUGGUUUACCGCAUUCUCUAUGCAGACUCCAAAUCCAUAUCAAUACCCUAUUGGGAAGAAACGUAUGCAGCCUCUGGGAAUUCUUGUUUUUGCUUCUGUCAUGGCAACUCUGGGACUGCAGAUAAUCAUGGAGUCUUUGCGCACGCUAUUUUCUGAUGAGGUUGAGUUCAGCUUGACAAAAGAUCAAGAGCAAUGGGUUGUGGGCAUUAUGAUUUCAGUGACUUUGGUAAAACUCCUGUUGGUUCUUUAUUGUCGCUCAUUUACCAAUGAGAUUGUCAAAGCUUAUGCUCAGGAUCAUUUUUUCGAUGUCAUCACCAAUGUCAUUGGUCUCAUUGCUGCUCUCCUUGCUAAUUAUUUUAAUGAUUGGAUAGACCCCUUUGGAGCUAUUAUUUUGGCCUUGUACACCAUCCGGACAUGGUCAAUGACAGUGCUGGAAAAUGUGAACUCCCUAGUGGGAAAAUCAGCUGCACCAGAAUACCUUCAAAAGCUCACAUACCUUUGUUGGAAUCACCACAAAGCCGUAAAGCACAUUGACACUGUUCGGGCUUACACUUUUGGGUCUCACUACUUUGUGGAGGUUGACAUUGUCCUUCCUGCGAGCAUGCAUUUGCAAGAGGCACAUGACAUUGGAGAAUCCUUGCAGGUGAAGCUUGAGCUCCUGCCUGAGAUUGAGCGCGCCUUUGUACAUCUCGAUUAUGAGUACUCACAUAAACCAGAGCAUGCACAGGCACAGUCAUAGUGGCAGGAGAACUCACUGUGAUCCACUUGACUUGUGUUCCCGAACCACCAAGCCAGCAUUGACUUGGUUUGAGCAUAAACAACCAGUUUUUGGAGGCAGGCUGUUCUGAAUAUAAUAGCGGCAGGAUUGGGGUCUAAAGCCUAAAUGCUAUUUGAACUAGCUUCUCAUUUUAGCAGUGGUCUACCGGUGAGCUGUAGUUGCAGUGCUGCACUUUAGGAGAUGCCUCUUGGAAUGAGAUGUUUUUUUCUAUUGUGAAAAAACACACACACACAUAUAUAUAUAUAUAUAUAUUUUGUUGGCAGUAUCAUAACUAUUGCUCAUAUUUGCCUGUGUUUUUUUGGGCCAUCUACUGUUAAAAUUAUUAAAAUCUUUUAAUUUUUUUCAAA